rnacentral:rRNA from 1 species
UACGUAGGGUGCAAGCGUUAAUCGGAAUUACUGGGCGUAAAGCGUGCGCAGGCGGCUAUGCAAGACAGAUGUGAAAUCCCCGGGCUCAACCUGGGAACUGCAUUUGUGACUGCAUAGCUAGAGUACGGUAGAGGGGAUGGAAUUCCGCGUGUAGCAGUGAAAUGCGUAGAUAUGCGGAGGAACACCGAUGGCGAAGCAAUCCCCUGGACCUGUACUGACGCUCAUG